rnacentral:piRNA from 1 species
UCCGAGGGUCUCCCAAUGUGAUGUGCAC